UGAACAAAGAUGCAAUGAACAAAAGGUGUUGUUUCAUGCUGUUGGCUCAGAAUGUCUUUAUAUGUGAGCCUGCUUUCAAAUCUCGACACUCUUCUUGGGGUGUGUGUGUGUGUGUGUGUGUGUGUGUGUGUGUAGACUGAUAGAUAGAUACAG